rnacentral:rRNA from 1 species
AUUGAACGCUGGCGGCAGGCCUAACACAUGCAAGUCGAGCGGAUGAAGAGAGCUUGCUCUCUGAUUUAGCGGCGGACGGGUGAGUAAUGCCUAGGAAUCUGCCUGGUAGUGGGGGAUAACGUUCCGAAAGGAACGCUAAUACCGCGUACGUCCUACGGGAGAAAGCAGGGGACCUUCGGGCCUUGCGCUAUCAGAUGAGCCUAGGUCGGAUUAGCUAGUUGGUGAGGUAAUGGCUCACCAAGGCUACGAUCCGUAACUGGUCUGAGAGGAUGAUCAGUCACACUGGAACUGAGACACGGUCCAGACUCCUACGGGAGGCAGCAGUGGGGAAUAUUGGACAAUGGGCGAAAGCCUGAUCCAGCCAUGCCGCGUGUGUGAAGAAGGUCUUCGGAUUGUAAAGCACUUUAAGUUGGGAGGAAGGGUUGUAGAUUAAUACUCUGCAAUUAUGACGUUACCGACAGAAUAAGCACCGGCUAACUCUGUGCCAGCCGCCGCCGUAAUAC